UACAGAGGGUGCAAGCGUUAAUCGGAAUUACUGGGCGUAAAGCGCGCGUAGGUGGUUUGUUAAGUUGGAUGUGAAAGCCCCGGGCUCAACCUGGGAACUGCAUCCAAAACUGGCAAGCUAGAGUACGGUAGGGGGUGGUGGAAUUUCCUGUGUAGCGGUGAAAUGCGUAGAUAUAGGAAGGAACACUAGUGGCGAAGGCGACCACCUGGACUGAUACUGACACUGAGGUGCGAAAGCGUGGGGAGCAAACAGG
rnacentral:rRNA from 1 species